AGGAUUCCAACACAGGCAGUGAGGGGUCGGAGUCUGUGUCAUAAUCCACUUCACAGGCUUGUGUGGAUUAAACGAAAUAAUCCAAGUGAAGGGCGAGGGCAAGGAAUGGCACACAGCAAGUACCCUUUAUUAGUUUAAAAUGUGAAACACUUUGGCCUGGAAGUCAAGAAUUCGCUCAAAGCCCCUGAUUUUAUGCGUGAACUCAUCAGGCGUCUCCUCUCGGGUAUGAAAUGGACGGGGAGGACACUGGAGACGAAUCCCCUAGAAACGUACAGCCCUCAGGCCCUUUUACUCUAGGAUCCUGCUACUUCAGAAGUAGAAGCGGAAGUAACUGGUGGACAAGGAGCGCACUUCCGGUGUUCCUUCAGCCCUCUCUACCCCGGCAGACAGGUCGUCCCCUUCCCACGCCGCCUGCGUCCCGGGCUGACCCCUUUCUCGUGGGAGCCCCGCCCCAGGCGAAGGCUCGGUUUUCCAUUGGUGGAGGUCAGGAGCUGCGUAGCCGUCUUUCAACCAAUGGACUCCGCUGUCUCUUCCGUUUGGUAAAGUCAGCCCCUCCUCCGGGCCGGCAGAGGGCGCGAGAGCGCGUGGCUCGAAGCCUAGGAGGUUCUCCGACACGGAAGUGACGUCACGACGCCGGAAAUCCACGGCCGCGGAGACUGCGGGAUGUGAUGGAGAAUUCUAGGGGGUGGAGGUCGAGCGAUAAAGUUUCCGCGAGGCGGUCAGAUAGAUGAGAAAACAAGCUGCCAGCGGAGGGGCUUGCUCAGUAUUUACUCAGCCAGAAAGUCUUCCAAGACCAGCGCGCUUCCCACAUGCCUCUCGGAGCGGAGGGGUAGCCCCUUGGGGGAUUUUGCUCUGCCUGAGGAGUUGCGCAAGCUAGUCUCACGGAGAUAUCCCCCUUCCGCAGAUCGGGAACACGAAACCCAGAGAGGGACAGGGACUUGCCAGGGUGGGGUUGCCAGAUUUAGCAAAUAAAACGCAGGACGCCCAGUUAAAGUUGAAUUUUGGUUAAACAAUGUUUUAGUAUAAGGCAUGUACGUUUACUAAAAGGUAUCCGUUGUUUAUCUGAGUUUAGAGCUAGCUGGGCGUCCUGUGAUUUAUCUGGCAAUCAGCCUACGGUCACCCAGCUGAGGGGAAGGGCAGAAAGCUAUUGAGGCAUCCUAUAUGCCUCCUCGCCUAAGGUUCACUGUUGUGUCAACCUGCACCCUUCCUGAGUGUAACCCUGAGGUGGCCUACAGGGCCCCCAGUUCACUCGGGUCAGUGGUCUGCCCUGUACAGGGUCUAGGCUGCUGUUCAGGAACUGAGGAGAGGAGGCCAGAUACUACCCCUACCUUGGAAUUUAGGGGUACCCCACAGCCUCCAAGACUAGUUUAUUCAGAAGACACUAAGCCCUUAGUCUGUGCCAAGUACAAACCCAGGCUUUGGAUCACAUUGGCAAAUGGAAGAAACGCUCUCUGUCUUUAUGGAAUUAACAGAUUUGCAGGAGGACAAGUAGAAAAAUUACGCUACAUUGUGACCAGCAGUCCUUUAAUAUGGUUAAAUACAGGAUGCUGUGAAAGCUCAGAGAAGCAGUACCUAACGAAGGCAUAGAGUAAGAGACAAAGGAGAGAUGCCCAAGCUGAGACCUGAAAGAUUCCUUCACUCAACAGUUAUUUAUUGGACAUCCAUGUGUAGGGCAGUGGUCUAGGCACUGAGGACACAGCAGUGAACAACAUAAAUCUCUGCCCUUAAGAGCUUAAUUCUAAAUGGAAUGUAUAGUAUGGUGAUGCUGAGCUAUGGGGAGGGGGAAGUACGACUAUGAAGGGGAUGAUAGAAUGCUGGGGUGGGAGUGUUACAGUUUUUAAGAAGCUGGUGGUCAGGAAGGCCUCACUGAGAAGGUGACAUUUGAGCAAAGACCUGAAGGGGUGAGGGAAAGAGAUCAUGGAGCUUUGGGGGUUUAUAAGGAAAUGUGUCGGGCAUGUUGGAGGAACAGAAAGAGGAGAAUGAUGCACUGCCUCCAAUCUGAUAGCUUUCUAAGGGAUUUUCAGUGAUCAUUUUUGCAUGGUGUUUCUUGCCUUAAAUAUUGUCCUUAGAAUCUAAUUCCAGUAAAAUGUGAGUUCACAUAACUAGGUGGGAGGCCACUUUGAAUAGGGUAUUCAGAAAAGGCCUUCCUGAGAAGGCAACAUUGAAGGUGAGCCCUUUAUGGUGAGAAUGAGUCAGCCCUGGAGAAGCUGGAAGAAGAGCUGCUUAGGCAGAGGGAACAGCCAGGGCAAAGGCCUGGAGGCAGGAAAGAACUCGGUAAAUGUGGGGAACCAAAAAGAGGCCAAUAGACUGGAGAGAGAAGAGCGGCGUGAGAUGAGGUUGGAGAGGUGGGCAGAGGUCUCAGGCCAUUUAGCUUUUAUUGGCAUCACGAUGGGACUCAACUGAAGGAUUUUCAGCAGAGGACUGACAAGAAUGGAUUCAUGUUUCAAAAAGAUACCUGCCUGCUAGGAGGCUGUAUCGGAUAAUUUUGCUGGUUGAAUUCACAUGGGCUUAGCUGCUCAUCACAGAGGUGCCAGGAAGAGGAUUUAAAAUGGAGUGAAGGGUUGAGUGGGAACUUCCAGCCUGUCGCCUCCCCUAUGGACCUUUACAGCUGGAAUGAGCUGGCUUGGGCAGGUGGGUUUCCUAGGGGACGGGUGACACCCAGAGAGCCAGCAUUUCCCUCCUGAGCAGGGAUUGACAGAAGUGACAACUUGUGUCCCUCAGACCCCGUCAGGUUCUCUAGCUGGGCUUGCCUUAACCAGGCUGGGGGAUGAAGGAAGUGCAUGCUACCAGCAGCCCACCGGGUCUCCUCCCUCUGCCCCUUUUGAAUAUACUUUCAGUUAUCUCUUCAAAGGUCCUGUCAUGCGUCUGCUCCAAAGGCACACAGGCUCCAGUGAGAAAUCUGUUCAAACUCCAUACCAGCUGCUGUCACUUUAAAAAGCUACAGAGGACUCUCCCCAGUGAACCUGCUUCAGACAAGGUGAGAAGGAGACCAAGGGAGACCCCAAGGACACCCCCAUACCUGGCUGACCAGGCCCUUUGCGCUGCAGAGGAGGCAGACACAGCUGGAAGGGACAGGAUUUAUGUUGCAUACUUGAACUACAGCGAGAAAUCUGUAACACAGACCAUUUGCGGACAACCAAGAUAUCAGUGCAAUUUGUCACAGUGCCGGAUCCUCCCAGGCAGGUCCCAGAGGAAGAGUCAUGACUGAAAGAUGGAUGCGAGCGGGUCCUGACUAUGCCCUCAGAGGCCCCGCCCUCCGCCCUCCGCUGACUCACCAUGUUCCAGGGUUUCGCCGGUUCAGAUCCUGGGCACGGACAUGGCACCACUCAUCAGGCCAUGCUGAGGC